AUAAGAAGUAAUUUACAUUCAGUUUCGACCUGAAAUCAAGGAACCUUCUUUCCCUUAUUAAAAAUAAACUAUCACAGUUAA
rnacentral:tRNA from 1 species